AGUGAGCGGGAUGAGCUCAAAUUUAAAAUCUGGCUGGUUUACUAGUCCGAAUUGUAGUUUAUAGAAGCGUUUUCGGUGGCAGCCUGGGUAUAAAUCCUUUGGAAUAGGGUAUCAUAGAGGGUGAGAAUCCCGUCUUUGACUCAGUGCAUGCUACUAUGUGAUACGUUUUCAAAGAGUCGAGUUGUUUGGGAAUGCAGCUCAAAAUGGGUGGUAAAUUUCAUCUAAGGCUAAAUAUUGGCGAGAGACCGAUAGCGAACAAGUACCGUGAGGGAAAGAUGAAAAGAACUUUGAAAAGAGAGUUAAACAGUGCGUGAAAUUGUUGAAAGGGAAACGUUUGACACCAGUCAUGCGGGUGGAAAAUCAGUCUUUUGCAAUGGGGAGUUGUGGGCGUUCAGACCGCAAGGCUGGCGUUUGCUUCAUCUUUGUUGUAAGUGAUGCACUUUUUCAUUUGCAGGUCAACAUCAGUUUGCUUCGCUGGACAAAACUCUAAGGGAAGGUGGCAGCUUAGGCUGUGUUAUAGCCCUGGAGCGAUACAGUGGGGUGGACUGAGGUUUCGCAGUGUGUGCUUUCGGGCAAGGCUGACGGGGUGCUAUGGGAUCGUUCGGCGUACAAUGCAUGCAUUUUGCGUCGUGUCUUUUUCAUACUCGCUCUAAUCAGCUCUUCCACGCUUAGGAUGUUGACUUAAUGGUUUUAAACGACCCGUCUUG
rnacentral:rRNA from 1 species